UGCGGGAGUGGCGAAAUUGGUAGACGCACCAGAUUUAGGUUCUGGCGCCGCAAGGUGUGCGAGUUCAAGUCUCUUUUUGAUACCGGCAUUCCCUGGUUCGAAUCCAGGUACCCCAGCCA
rnacentral:tRNA from 1 species